rnacentral:rRNA from 1 species
UCAAGGACGAUGAAAGGCUGACGGUGAUACCUAGGAACCCAGAGACGAGGAAAGGGCGUAAUUAAUACGACGAAAAUGCUUCGGGAGUUGAAAAAUAAGCGGAGAUCCGGAGAUUCCCGAAUAGGUCAACCUUUCGAACUUCUGCUGAAAUCCAUGGGCAGCAAGAGGGACAACUUGGCUCAACUGAAAAACAUUCUAGUAGCCAGAGGAAAAGAAAGCCAAAAGCCGGAUUUCCCCCGUAGUAGCGGCGAGCGAAACCUGAUGGGAGCAGCCUAAACCGUGGAAAACGGUGGUGGUGUGGAGAGCAAUAACAAGCGUCUGCUGCUAGGCGAAUCAGUGGAGUGCUGGUAUCUCUCGUAUUAUGUUUGAAAGUCCAGUAGCCGAAAGUUUAUCACUAGCUUAGCUCUGACCCGAGUAGCAUGGGGCACGUGGAAUCCCGUGUUGAGUAUGCUCGUUGACUGAGUGAGCCAUGAUCCUUGGUGCGAGAGGUGCUGUUAGUAGAUACUCCUGGGAAGCGAUAGCGAGAGUGAGUAGGACGGUGUGAGGUAAUAUGUAAGAAGAACCCCCAUCGGCGGGAGGGAAAUAAAACCAUGAAACCCGUAAGCUCUCAAGGCAGUGGAGUGUGGGGCACAACCCUGCGUGCUGCGGGCGGUGGUGUUGUUUUUGUGGUUGGGUGGUGUGGGGGGUGGUGUGGGGUGCUUGCCUGGUGUAGUAAAAACGUCUGACUGUAGUAGGCGUAGGUUCUUUGUUAGUAGUGGGAGCUCGCAGCCCUGUGAGCCGUAGCGAGUGUGUUGAUAGCGUAGUGCGUGUGUGUCAUAGGCAAUGCACUGCUAUGGACCCGAACCGGGUGAUCUAUUCCAGGACCAGGAGAAGCGGGUGAAACAAGGAGCGCCGAACCGACGAUGUGAAAAUCAGCGAAGUGUGUGAGGGGUGAAAUGCCACUCUGGGAACCCAGAGCCUAGCUGGUUCUCCCCGAAAUGCGUUGUAUGUGUGCGCAGCAGUGGAACUGGACGAGUCUGGAUGUGGGGUAAAGCACCUGUUUCUCGGUGAGGCCGCGAGAGCGGUGUGGGGCUUGAGCCAAAUCGAGCAACUCUGGAAGUCGUAUGAGUGAUACCUCCAGAGAUAACAGGGUCAAGGUUGUGUGGCGUGUGUGCGCUGAUGAUAUCGAUGGGGGAUAAGCUCAUCGUUCGAGAGGGAACAGCCGGAUCACCAGCUAAGGCCCCUAAAUGAGCCGCUCAGUGAUAAAGGAGGUAGGGUGCAGAGUACAGCCAGGAGGUUUGCCUAGAAGCAGCACCUUGAAAGAGUGCCCGUAAUUAGCUCACUGAUCGAGCGCUCUUGCCGCCGAAGAUGAAGGGGGCCAAGCGGUCUUGCCGAAGCUGUGGGAUGUAAAAAAGGCAUCGUGGAGCGUUCACGUGUAGGGAGAAAACGCCGGCCGCGCGAGCCGCGAUUGGACGAAGCGGAAGCGAGAAUGGUCGGCUGAGUAACGCAAACAUUGGUGAGAAUUCCCAAUAGCCCGAAAACCUAAGUGUUCCUUCCGCAAGGUUCGUCCACGGAGGGGUGAGUCAGGGCCUAAGAUCCAGGCCGAAAGUGCGUAAAAUAGUCGAUGGACAACAGGUGAAUAUUCCUGUACUAACCCCAUUGUUGGUCCCGAGGGACGGAGAGGCUAGGUUAGCCGAAGAUUGGUUAUCGGUUCAAGGACGCAAGGUGACCUGUUUUUCAGGGUAAGAAGGGGUUAGAGAGAAAAUUAGCCUCGAGCCCAGAUUUCGAAGUACCAGGCGCUUACGGCGCUGAGUAACCCAUGCCAUACUCCCAGGAAAAGCUCGAACGACCUUCAACAAAAGGGUACCUGUACCCGAACCGACACAGUAGGGAGGUAGAGAAUACCUAGGGGCGCGAGACAACUCUCGCUAAGGAAAACUCGGCCAAAAUAGUCCCCGUAACUUUCGGGAGAAGGGGUGCCCCCCACAAAGGGUCGAACGUGACCAGGCCCGGGCGAUCCGGUUUACCAAAAACACAGGUCUUCCGCAAAGUCGUAAGCACCAAUGGUAUUGGGCUGACGCCUGCCCAGUGCCGGAAGGUCAAGGAAGUUGGUGACCUGAUGACAGGGAGCCGGCCGACGCCGAAGCCCCGGUGAACGGCGGCCGUAACUUAUAACGGUCCUAAGUAGCGAAAUUCCUUGUCGGGUAAGUUCCGACCCGCACGAAAGGCCGUAACGAUCUGGCACUGUCUCGGAGAGAGGCUCGGUGAAAUAGACUGUCUGUGAAGAUCGCGGAAACUACCUGGCACCUGGACAGAAAGACCCUAUGAAGCUUUACUGUUCCCUGGGGAUUGGCUUUGGCCUUUCCGGCGCAGUUUAGUGGAAGGCGAAGAAGCCCCUUCCGCGGGGGGGCCCGAGCCAUCAGUGAAUACCACUCUGGAAGGAGCUAGAAAUCUUGCAUCACCAAAAACGGUAGCAGCCGUUUUGUUGGUGGAAAGGAAGAAGCAGCAGAAGCCGAUAUAUUUUGUUAGUCAUGUAUUGAAUGCGGCAAAACGCAGAUAUCCAGUGAUAGAGAAGAUGGCGUUAGCAGUAGUAGUGGCGGCUAGAAAGUUGAGGCCUUAUUUUGAUGCACACCCGAUAGAAGUAUUAACCAAUCAUCCUUUGGAAAAAUCAUUGCACAAAAUGGAUACGUCAGGCAGAUUACUGACAUGGGCAGUAGAGUUAUCGGAGUAUGAAAUAAGCUACAGGCCAAGAACGUCAAUCAAGGCUCAGGCAUUGUCGGAUUUCAUUGUUNAGACCACAUAUACCGAUGAAGAGGAAGAAUUGGGAACAUGGAAGGUAUCAGUUGAUGGUUCAGCUACGGCAACGGGGGCAGGGGCUGGAAUUGUGAUAACGGCACCAAAUGGGAAAGUGUUUGAAUAUGCCAUGAAGUUUAAGUUC